rnacentral:rRNA from 1 species
GUCGUAACAAGGUUUCCGUAGGUGAACCUGCGGAAGGAUCAUUACCGAGUGCGGGCCCUCGUGGCCCAACCUCCCACCCUUGUCUCUCUACACCUGUUGCUUUGGCGGGCCCACUGGGGCUCCCUGGUCGCCGGGGGACGCCUGUCCCCGGGCCCGCGCCCGCCGAAGCGCUUCGUGAACCCUGAUGAAGAAGGGCUGUCUGAGUACUAUGAAAAUUGUCAAAACUUUCAACAAUGGAUCUCUUGGUUCCGGCAUCGAUGAAGAACGCAGCGAAAUGCGAUAAGUAAUGUGAAUUGCAGAAUUCCGUGAAUCAUCGAAUCUUUGAACGCACAUUGCGCCCCCUGGCAUUCCGGGGGGCAUGCCUGUCCGAGCGUCAUUUCUGCCCUCAAGCACGGCUUGUGUGUUGGGUGUGGUCCCCCCGGGGACCUGCCCGAAAGGCAGCGGCGACGUCCGUCUGGUCCUCGAGCGUAUGGGGCUCUGUCACUCGCUCGGGAGGGACCUGCGGGGGUUGGUCACCACCACAUUUUCUAUUAUGGUUGACCUCGGAUCAGGUAGG